rnacentral:rRNA from 1 species
AUUUUGUUGGUUUCUAGGAUCGACGUAAUGAUUAAUAGGGAUAGUUGGGGGCAUUAGUAUUCAAUUGUCAGAGGUGAAAUUCUUGGAUUUAUUGAAGACUAACUNNUGCGAAAGCAUUUGCCAAGGAUGUUUUCAUUAAUCAAGAACGAAAGUUAGGGGAUCGAAGACGAUCAGAU